UCAAAGGUUGGAAAACAGUCAUCAGCGGUGCUGGCAAGUGAAAAGCCUUCUGGUUUGGGUGAGGCACCUACUGGGACUUCCUGGUGACCUGCUGGGUAGGGGCUGGGAGAUGGGCAGUAGGUCUGCCAGGUGACCCGGGCAUAACCCCGGGGUCUGAAGCUGCUGGUCUGACUAGCAGACCAGGGCACAAGCAUUCUGAAGAUAGGAAGAG